rnacentral:rRNA from 1 species
UGGGGAAUAUUGGACAAUGGGGGGAACCCUGAUCCAGCCAUGCCGCGUGUGUGAAGAAGGCCUUUUGGUUGUAAAGCACUUUAAGCGGGGAGGAGGCUACUUAGAUUAAUACUCUAGGAUAGUGGACGUUACCCGCAGAAUAAGCACCGGCUAACUCUGUGCCAGCAGCCGCGGUAAUACAGAGGGUGCGAGCGUUAAUCGGAUUUACUGGGCGUAAAGCGUGCGUAGGUGGUCUUUUAAGUCGGAUGUG